rnacentral:rRNA from 1 species
AAGGUGGGGAUGACGUCAAGUCAUCAUGCCCCUUACGUCCUGGGCUGCACACGUGCUACAAUGGCCGGUACAAUGGGCUGCGAUACCGCGAGGUGGAGCGAAUCCCAUAAAACCGGCCCCAGUUCGGAUCGAAGGCUGCAACUCGCCUUCGUGAAGUCGGAGUUGCUAGUAAUCGCGGAUCAGCAUGCCGCGGUCGAAUACGUUCCCGGGCCUU